AGUCGAACGGUAACAGGAAGCAGCUUGCUGCUUUGCUGACGAGUGGCGGACGGGUGAGUAAUGUCUGGGAAACUGCCUGAUGGAGGGGGAUAACUACUGGAAACGGUGGCUAAUACCGCAUAACGUCGCAAGACCAAAGAGGGGGACCUUCGGGCCUCUUGCCAUCAGAUGUGCCCAGAUGGGAUUAGCUUGUUGGUGAGGUAACGGCUCACCAAGGCGACGAUCCCUAGCUGGUCUGAGAGGAUGACCAGCCACACUGGAACUGAGACACGGUCCAGACUCCUACGGGAGGCAGCAGUGGGGAAUAUUGCACAAUGGGCGCAAGCCUGAUGCAGCCAUGCCGCGUGUAUGAAGAAGGCCUUCGGGUUGUAAAGUACUUUCAGCGGGGAGGAAGGUGUUGUGGUUAAUAACCGCAGCAAUUGACGUUACCCGCAGAAGAAGCACCGGCUAACUCCGUGCCAGCAGCCGCGGUAAUACGGAGGGUGCAAGCGUUAAUCGGAAUUACUGGGCGUAAAGCGCACGCAGGCGGUCUGUCAAGUCGGAUGUGAAAUCCCCGGGCUCAACCUGGGAACUGCAUUCGAAACUGGCAGGCUUGAGUCUUGUAGAGGGGGGUAGAAUUCCAGGUGUAGCGGUGAAAUGCGUAGAGAUCUGGAGGAAUACCGGUGGCGAAGGCGGCCCCCUGGACAAAGACUGACGCUCAGGUGCGAAAGCGUGGGGAGCAAACAGGAUUAGAUACCCUGGUAGUCCACGCCGUAAACGAUGUCUACUUGGAGGUUGUGCCCUUGAGGCGUGGCUUCCGGAGCUAACGCGUUAAGUAGACCGCCUGGGGAGUACGGCCGCAAGGUUAAAACUCAAAUGAAUUGACGGGGGCCCGCACAAGCGGUGGAGCAUGUGGUUUAAUUCGAUGCAACGCGAAGAACCUUACCUGGUCUUGACAUCCACAGAAGAAUCCAGAGAUGGAUUUGUGCCUUCGGGAACUGUGAGACAGGUGCUGCAUGGCUGUCGUCAGCUCGUGUUGUGAAAUGUUGGGUUAAGUCCCGCAACGAGCGCAACCCUUAUCCUUUGUUGCCAGCGGUUAGGCCGGGAACUCAAAGGAGACUGCCAGUGAUAAACUGGAGGAAGGUGGGGAUGACGUCAAGUCAUCAUGGCCCUUACGACCAGGGCUACACACGUGCUACAAUGGCGCAUACAAAGAGAAGCGACCUCGCGAGAGCAAGCGGACCUCAUAAAGUGCGUCGUAGUCCGGAUUGGAGUCUGCAACUCGACUCCAUGAAGUCGGAAUCGCUAGUAAUCGUGGAUCAGAAUGCCACGGUGAAUACGUUCCCGGGCCUUGUACACACCGCCCGUCACACCAUGGGAGUGGGUUGCAAAAGAAGUAGGUAGCUUAACCUUCGGGAGGGCGCUUACCACUUUGUGAUUCAUGACUGGGGUGAAGUCGUAACAAGGUAACCGUAGGGGAACCUGC
rnacentral:rRNA from 1 species